CUGCCCACAGUGCUUUUCCAUGGCCGCAGUGCCCUUCCCACACCAAGGCCUAGCUGCCUUCCUGAUCUCCAGCUUUCUUUUUGGCUAAUCUUCCCAGUCCACAAAUAGUUGCAUCUUAAGAAUAGAGCACGGUUCUCGUCCUCGGUUUGACAUACUACACUACUGGCAAGGAUGUAUUCUUGGGACAGCUUUUUAAAGUCUGUCUGCAAAGAGCACCAAGAUUAAAUGCGUCUCCGCAGCCUGAACGGAGAUGGCAAUUUUCACAAAGAACGGUCCUGCAGGCCAAGGGGACCACAGCUUGGGCUGAACACGCGUCAGUUGGUCUAGACAGCGACUGCUCUAAUUUCGGAAGUGCAGGCGAUCAGUAAAGCCAGCGAGCGGCAUGACUGUAGCUUCAUCUAUUGUGGACACGAUUAAGAACACAUUCAUGAACUGCCCAAUGCCAAUGCCCUGUUUUCAGAAGGCGUGUCCCCCAUACCUGGCUUCAGGAUACCACCUUAUAAGAAGCAAGCUGUGACAGCUCCCAGCCCCGAGCCCCUUUGCUGAAUUAGGCACUUUUCACCAUGUUCUAGCAUCAUCUAUGGUAUAGUCAUUAAAAGCACAGAGUCUGGAUUCAGACUGCCUGGGUGGGAACUCUGUCACAGCGAAUUGCUCCGAAUUUCCACUUCCUCAGCUGUAGAACAGGCAUGCAGAGAGUUCAGCACUCCGAAUACCCUGCUCCCCAAUUUUUUAUGAAGAUCAAAUGAAUGAAUCCAGAAAAGACAACCUUGAACUAUUGUACUAAAAUCUGCUUGGAUGGAGAGUGAUUCAUGGAAAUGAAAUCAGAAGAACCACUGAACUGUCUAGUGAAGAGACUGAAGUUGCCUUCAGGGCCCAGACAGCAGAGUUCCCUCGAUUCUGCAGCAGUCUUACUUUAGCCCAAGAAGGAAAAGAGCCUGAAGACUCUACCAAGAGACCAGCAAUGACACAGUCAACAGGCAGCAGAACCAAAAGCCAAAGCAGGCUCUAGGCGGAGCUUCAAUGACUCCAAAUACAUUCGCUCAUUUGAACUUCUCAACAUGUCCUCCUUCGACUCUGCCUCCUCAUGCAGAUUAAGAAACAGACCUAAGUCCUCGCCAUCCUUGCCACUGAUAAAGUGAAACCAGAAAGCAAGAUGAAGCUCUGUUUUUCCCCAGUAUCCCACUGGGGAAGGUAGACAUUUUGCUAAGGAUUUUGUGGAGAGACCCAGAAAAUGGUUUCCAUCAUACGUUGCGUGAUGAAACCUCAAAAACUUCUCCUUCGGCAUUUCCAAUCUUUCUCCUGGUGCUCUCUCUAAACAGCGAUGGGUCCACGUGGUUUCUGAAUGGAUUUUCUCACACCCGAUUUUGCACCCUCAUUCCCUUCCUCUCAGGCAGUCUUCCUGGAUGCCUCAGAAAGAGAAACUGAGUCAUCAGUCAAGUCACAGUGUCACUCUGUCCUGAUUUCUUCUCCAGAGUAUCAAGUAGCAAACUGCCAGGGAUAUAAGCUCUUUGGGGGAUGAAUGCAAACAUCACUGGGUCAUUUGCCAGUAAAUCAUUUCCAAAUGUAGUAAAUUCGGAUAAUUGAACCUAUCUAUCCACCCAUGGGAAGCAAACCCUUCCCAGUUAGUAGUAACUGACACACUCAGUCACGUGGGCAAUUGCUCCUCUUGGACAACAACUAAUUGAUAUACUCUUCCACAUGUAAACAUUUGAAUGUUAACUCUCUGCACUUGCAUGUUCUUUUGGUUUCAACCAAUUCUGUAGGGAGGGGGGAAAAGACUGAUUGGCUGAUUGAAUAAUAGAGAGCCAAAAUAAAUAAGAAAAACUGUACAGAAACAAUUUAAUUUUCCAGCGGACCCAUUCACCGAGUUUGGGUACCAGCCAUCUUUUUCUUGAUGAUCAAUCCUAACACCUGAAAAUACUCGCAUGAGAAACUAUUUUUCUAGAUUUGGUCCUUUUUCUAUGAAUCUGAGUAAACCAUUCACCUUCACUAAAAGCAGGACCCUAGGUUGUUUUCAAAGCUAGAGCUAUUGGUAUCCAUUGGUUACAAGUCAAUAUUGAUAUGAGAUUUUGUUACCUAAGAAUCUCCCAAUAGAAUUUUGUCUCUGACAGCCAAUCCUUCUUUGUUCAUGCUCCAGUCUGUUCUCAUUUCCUCCCAGCCAGAACUAGUAAGGGCACGGCAUUCAUGUUCAGUGUGGUGCCACCAAAACCAGAGAGUGGAUUGGCAUCUCCUCCAUCACUACCACCUUAAUGUCACCUCUUCCCAGGCCACUCAAAGUCAAAGGAAAACACAUGAGUCUAGAUAUAUGCAGUCUCUGGAAACUGUCAAUUGCCCUGUAAAUGGAAUACACCAUAAUCACGCAAAUGGUUCUUCUUGUUCAUUUAUGCUGCACUCUAAACCCCAUGCUGUGCUGAAAUCCUCACAUAGUCAACGUUUCAAUGUUGCUGCAGAUCUGAGCUGUUAAUGUUACAUGUUGAAUUUUCUUUUGCCAUUUCCACUCACAUUCCAAACACCUUGUGUGAAACCAGCAUUCUUGUUAAUUAUUUUUCAUAUCACAAGCAUUUCAGUCUUGCUAUUACAGAGGACCAUAUAACUCAAUGUCCAAAAUGCUACAAAAGAUAAUGCUGUUAUUAAUUAUUCAAGGACUUAAAGCAAGAACUGAGACUGUGCUAGGCAAACCAGGAUGUGUGGUCAGGCUGACUACAAGCCUCCUAUUAUGGAAACUCUGUUUCAAUGCCUGUGUUAUUUUAUA